AUCCUCGCCAACACUUGUUAUCUUUUGUGUUUUUGAUUAUAGCCAUUCUGACAGGUAUGAGAAGAUACUUCAUUGUGGUGUGGAUUUGCAUUUCCCUAAUUAUCCUCUUUUGCACCUCUGGGUUUAGUCUGUUUUCCCUGAUACUAGAGCCUUUGAGAUAACAUCUCAAAGAGAGUUAAUCAGUGAUUUUUGUAGAAGUGUAUGUGUGUUCAUUCAUUUUUGUAGUUAGUGUCACCAUCCCCACUUUACUGACAGGAAAUUAAAGCAGAGGGUUGAGUAAUUUGUCUAAAGUCCCACCAUCAGCAGAGACCAGGCCCUGGCCCUAAAAUUCACGCUCUUAGCCAUUCCAUGGCCCAGAGGGUGUGGGUUUUUCCUGCUUCUAGGCAGCAUGUUAUUAUGGUUUGUGGAGCAGGACCAAGAUGCAUGUUUAAUGGAUAAGCCCAUAUUACUCUUUUGAGACCCAAAUAUUCCCUGGAACAUUGGCUGGACUGUUGAACAAAGGUAAGCACAAAUAUUCUGCUAGAUGUGUGAACAUUUGUAUUUCAUCAGAUUCCUGAAAAUGUUUUUCAAAGUGGAAAUUCCACUUGUAAAAAAUCUGUUUACUAAAUAUGCUAUAAACAGGAACAGGUGUUUCUGGGUUCUAGUUUGAAAUUUGUUUAGAGCCACACAGGUAAAUGAGCGUCAAGUGUAGGAGCGUAGCGUAGUGGUUCAGCAUCAGUGGUGAAUCACAAGGACAGGCUCCAGUCCCCCCGGGUAUUGGAAGUGUGCAUGGACACAGUCCCCACACACGCUUUCCAGAAACUUUUCUCUACCUGUUAAAUAAAGGAAGCCUAACACAGUAGAGUUCCUUUUCUCUCCACACAUUUUGAAAAUUAGGUAGAAACUUAGAAAUGAUCGAAGGAAAAACUAUUUAUCCUCAUGUGUAUGUCAAUAAUAAUGAGCCUUAACUCCAAAAACAGAGUCACUUCUACCAGAUAUCUGUGUUUUUUAUCCCAUUACCUUUCUUGGUUUUGAGGGUGUAAUCUCUUCCAGGCCCUUUGGGUUUCUUCAAAAGACUGUUUCCUGGCUGAGCAAACUACCUUUCCCUUUUAUAGGGUAGUUAGGAAUGUUUGAUGGAAAACAACCAAAACCCACCCACACUCCCAAAUUUUACUGUGGUGAUUAAGUGUCUUUAAGUGUUGAUCAAGUACAUUCUUUCAGAGUCACAGUUUUGUCACAUUGGGUCUUGCAGUUAGUGUUAUAAAGUCCCCUGAUCACCAUAUUAUACCAUAUCCCUCAGUUUUUAAUGGGAUUUGUACCUUGGAGAUGCAUUUGCAAAAGCCCAGAGUGGGUCAGGGUGGCACUGGUAUAGAAGUACCUUGUUCAAUCCGCUUCCUGGUCCCUGUGAACAACACUAGGUUUGGUUCCCUGCUGCAAUUUAGCGAGCUGUCAGAGCUUUAGGCAGUGAAGCUCUGGUUUGUGAAGCUGCUAUGGCUGUGCAUCUUGGUUUUAUAGAAUUAUUCUCUCUAGGAUUAUUAGAAAUGAAAGUGCUCGAGAGGCAUUUGCUAUUUGCUGAACAUAAUUUAUGACCAGUUCUUCAGGAACAUUUCUGAUGCUGAGUACCUCCCUGUGUUCUGCAUCCAUGCUCCUUGGUUCUGUUCACAUUUAGAUUGAAAAUUUCUUUAAGGGAGGAUUUCUUCUUAUUCUUGUCCUAAAUCCUGGCAUUGUCUGAAGUCCUAAGGAGAUGCUUAUCUAUCCUCCCCCUUCUCAGGUUCUCUGUGGCCUUGGACCCAUUUGGGCCAUUAUAACAGAACACCACAGCCUGGGGGCUUCUAAACAAUAGACAGACGGUCCAUUUCUCAGUCUGGAGGAUGGGAGUCCAAGGUUAAGGCGUGGGCAGAUUCAGUGUCUCGUGAGAUCCUGCUUCCUGGUUUACAGAGGGGUCUUCUCACUGUGACCUCACAUGGAGGAAGGUGCGAGGGGGCCCUGGGGUCUUUUCUAAGGGCGCUAAUCGCAUCAUGGGGGCUCCACCCUCAUGAACUCCUCACCUCUCCAGAUCCUUACCUCGUAGCACCAUCACAUUGGGCGUUAGGUUUCAACCAUAAGUUUUGCGGGGACACAGGCAUUCUGACCAUAACAUCCUUACCCCGUGAAGCCUUCCUUACCUGAGCUGGAUGCACUAGGUCUGAAUGGGUGAACCACCAUUUUGUUUGUUGCCCUACCUGGACUCACCUGUAUGUGCUGUGUGUUCCCUGUUGGCUUACCUGGCAGGACUGUGUUGACAGCACAGUGCUUUGGGAGAAAGUAGAUU